GUGCUCACUUCAGCAGCAGCAUAUACUGAAAAAUUGGAAUGACACAGAGGAAAUUAUCACGGUCUCUGCACAAGGAUGACAUGACAUGCAAAUUCGUGAAGUAUUCUAUAUUUUC
ensembl:snRNA U6 U6 spliceosomal RNA